rnacentral:lncRNA from 1 species
AUGUACUUCCUCAAACACUGAAUUUCUAAUAUUACCUUUGAUUCGGGUACUGAGGACAUGCCACGGUGCCAGCAUUACUGGGCUAUUCUCUAGCAAAAUGAAAGCAGCCAUGCUGUUUUGUCCGGAUUUCAAUAGCCGUUUGGACAAAGGUGUUUGUGCAUAAACUUUGGGGCCUAAUUGGGUUGCUGGCUUAUUUUUGAAUAUUUUGAGGUGGACUAGGACCCUCAUGAUGCGGUAAGGGGGAGAAGGAUCACAUCUUAGAGCAGAUGAUAGCUCUAGGAGUGUCAUGGGGCCGCCAUGGCUUUCAAUUGCAUCAGCUAUUCCAAGCUGAAUGGCACAUUUUACCACCGCGAUUUCAGCAAACCCGAACACAUAUUUCCAGAUUUGCACUUUGGCAUGUUCUUCUUCUUUCUCUUCUCCUCCUAACUCUCUUUAUUUAUCUUCCAUCUCUUUCUGUGUGUGUUUCGUAGGCUCUAAGGUAGCAAUAUAUAUAAUUUGCAGGAAGAGAUUGGAGUAUAGUUACAUGUAGAACAUGUUGGAAGUUUGAAAGCUAAUGUCCCACAUUGGAGAAAACAAAAGGUUCCAUAUGCUUUAUAAGCAUGAAACCUUAACAUCAAUUAAAUAAAGAUUGGUGGGCUGAUGAGCUUGGUAGUGAAGACUAUCAUAGUUGACUUGCUUGAUUAAUAUUAAUAUUUAAAUAAUCAAGACUUGGGCCUUGGGGUCUCUGGAAAAUAAAAGAAAUAUACCUAGUUCGAAAAUAAAAUAAUUAUUUUUUUAUUUUUCGGAUUUCUUUGGCAGAAGUUAAAUUCAAACCAGAAAGACUUAUCUUUUUGUUUGAAUUUGAACAGGUAUAACUGAUACUAACUGCUAUUUUGAAAGGGUGUAAUUCUAUUAUAAAACCACAAGUCCUAAGCCAUAAUACGGACAUCUUUUUCCUUAAACUAUCUCAUAUUAUUUUAAAGUUACCAACUGUAUUGGAGAGAAGCACACCAACGUUGGCCAGAAUUCAAGGAUCCGAUGCUGGACCCUUGAAUUAUAGAUAGUUGAAUCCUGGGAGAUAUACGCCUGUUGAACUUCAAGCACUGAGAAGAGGCGAAAUUCUGUCUUUAGGACAUUGCAAAUACGCAAGCCUCUAUCUUCAAUAAAAGUCAGUAUUCUGUACUUAAUUUAUAUUUGCACACUUAUACAGAUUUUAUAAUUUUGUUACUGUUUAUAUUUUAAGAGUUGUGCAAUAAUAUAGUGAUCCUAUAGUAUAAAACAUUUACUGAUUAUUUCCUAACAGAACAUGUGUUGAACAGUUUAGGUAAUGUAUCAUUUUCAUUGGGAUUUUUCCCAGAUUCAGCCACUCAAUUUUAAAUGUAUUUUCAUGUAAUGAUAGACAUCUUUUGCCUAAUUGGCUGGAAGGAUUUUGUCUUGUAUACAAAAUUCUUUCUUUGCCAAAGUAUUUUAUCAAAAAGUUUACUACGUAGUAGACAAACAUGGUAAGCAUGCAUUGUUUAGCUGUACGUAGCUAGUGGCAUUAUCAUAAGAUUCGAAAAUAUGGAGGGCUAAUCACGUACCGACACGUGGCUCUCAAAAAUCCUAUCUGAAAAAUUGUUGGGAGCAUUUUUUCCUCAUCACUUUAAUUCAAGCUGUGUACCCUCAUCAUUAUUCCCAAAAGGUGACGCAUGUCCAUAGUUUAACUCUUUAUUUUUUAUUUAUUUGAUGACAUUAUUAUGAGAGAGAAACAAUGGUUUAAUAAAAAAUUUCCUGAUUUACCCUUUUCCUAUUAAUUUACCCAACAAACCUUCCAUUUUUCUAUUAAUUACCAAUGAAGCGAACAAAAUCCAAAUAAUUAACAACAUCAUGACGAUCAUUACUAGAAAAAUAAUUGUUUCAUUUGACAUUGUUGAACACUUUGACUAAAAAACAAAACUCUUGAAUGCUACUCCUCCUUCAUAACCGAAAAAAAAAAAAAAAAUUCAAAUACUAAAGAGGCUUUAAUUCUGUGAUUAAUAGGAGGCUUUAAUGCCAAUUGAAUCUAUGAAAGGACCCGCCUCGAAUUUCCCAAAACCCGAGGCGAAUCCUGUGGAAUUCCAGACAUCACCCCUAUGCCGGGCCUACUUACUAACGACCGAGACUUUUUGCCGAAAUUUCGACAGAGUCUCCCCUGUAAAUUGAACAUUUCUCAAAAUUACAACCUGCAUAAAAACACAUUUAAUAACCACAACUGGCAGCAUGCACAAUAUAAUUUCACGCAAAUCACAUAAACGGCCUUCGGCCUUCCUAUAAUUCUCAACUACCAAGCAUGCUAGCAAAUCAAUUCAUGCCUUAAACAAGGCAAUCGAUAAAUUCAAAUAUAAAUUACGACUACUAAAUUUCAACACACAUCAUCUAACUUUUCCAAUCCCAAUAUAUAUGAGGUUUUAACCUCCUAACACAAUCACAUCUAUGUCCGCGGCUGCACCUAAUAACCUUAGGCUGCCUACGUACCCUUACUGAGGGAUCAAGCCACACGUAGUUCUUCCUUAAAACCCAAUUCUACAGAUAGGCAAUACCUUAUUUUAUUUCUCUGUAUUUCAUAUGAUCUCCCCAUACGCCGGUACUACCAACACCACGUAUGGGGCCUGUCAACACGUCGGAUAACCUACGCCACGUGCGACCAUACCAUACUAUCACAAUAUCUCCCCAUACGCUGGUACAACCAAUGCCACUUAUGGGGUCUGUCUCAACGCCGGAUAACCUACGUCACGCGAGACCUGCACAUCAUAUCACAUAUCUCCCUAUACGCCGGUACAACCAACGCCACGUAUGGGGUCUGUCGACAUGCCGGAUAACUUACGCCACGUGCGACCUCAACAUGAUAUCACAAUAUCUCCCCAUACGCCGGUACAACCAACACCAUGUAUAGGGUCGGUCUCAACGCCGGAUAACCUACGCCACGCGAGACCUGAACAUCAUAUCACAUAUCUCCCCAUAAGCCGGUACAACCAACGCCACGUAUGGGGUCUGUCGACACGCCAGAUAACCUACGCCACGUGAGACCUCAAUAUCAUAUCAUAAUAUCUCCCCAUACGCAGUACAACUAACGCCACAUAUGGGGUCUGUCCGCAUGCCGGAUAACCUACGCCACGUAGGACCUAACUUUCACAGGGUGGUACUUGUAGUGUAACCAAAAUCUGGGGAGGUACCUAUGGUAGUGCGUAUAGCACUUCAAACUGACAUUCUAGACUCCUUUUAUACCUUUACAAACAUAUAUAAAUAUAUAAUUUACUUCUGAUAUUGUGUAAACCUCAACAAUAGUCUAGCACCCGAGAAUCCCCCUGGAAAGGUGAGAUUACUCCGGGAGACUCACGGUCAACCAAGGGUCAAACUACCCUAACCCUGGUCAAACGGGCCUACGGGGCCCACAACCUCCAAAUUCCGAUCCGAAAGUUCCUAUGGGUUCUACAAGGUAUAGGACACUAGUCCUGCAAGUUUGGUCCAGAUCGGACGGUCGGAUUGCUCACGAUCGCACGAUCUGAAGGUUAUUAUAAAACAUAAACUUUAAAUUAUUUAAUCGGAACAUCCGGGGCUCCGAUUCACGAUCCGUGAAUUCCUACACGAUUCUAGAAAUACCUAGAUUAACAUAUAUUAUAUUCGAGACCUUCCAACGGUCCCAACCUAUCAAACCCGGAUAACGCGCAAUAUGCGAAAAUCCGUUCGAUAGUCAAACGACGUCCGAAUUGAGAUCCGCGAAAUCCUACGCACUCGUGACAAACUAAGGAUCUCAUCGAGACACAGUGAAACUUCACUACUCUCGCCCACGCGUCGCCACAUGCGACGGCAGCGCUGGGUGCCCAAAGCGAUUAUGCAUCGCCGGAAAAUCUCAAAACCACGGCUCCAAACUCCUACCCUAGAUAUAAGACCCUAUUUGGAGCCACUUUUGUUCUUGGACCUACCCCAAAAACUGACCAGAGGUUGCCAGAAUUGCCAUCCCAAAACCGGCCGAAUUUCAAUUUGUAAAUCGAAUUGGCUACGCUAAAAAUCGAUCCAAUCCUACCCAACAGGGAGCUAGAGCAUGAAGAAUGGAUGAAUUUUCAUACCUUGAUCGCCAGAAAUGGCUGCCGAAGGAAGGAGAUCGGAGCCGACGAAGUUCGAGUGAAAAACCGGGCAAAAAUCGCCUUUUUCCAGCGGCUAGAGGAGCGGCCGAUGUCAGGGGAGGGCUGUUUAAGGACCCGCCCCGAAUUUUCUCAAAACCCGAGACGAACCCUUUGGAAUUCCUGACAUCACUCCGAUGCCAGACCCAAUUACUAAAAACCGAGACUUCCUGCCAAAUUUCGACAGAGUCUCCCCUAUAAUUUGGACAUUUUCCAAAGUUUCAACCUGCAUAAAAACACAUUUAAUAUUCCCAACUGGCAGCAUGCACAAUAUAAUUUCAUGCAAUUCACACAAAUGGCCUUCGGCCUUCCAAUAAUUCUUAACUAACUAACAAACAAUUCAAAUACCAAAUAUGACUAAUAUUUAGUCUGCGGUUGUACCUAAUAACCUUAGGCUGCCUACGUACCCUCCUUGAGGGAUCAAGCCACACGUAGUUCUUCCACUAAAAUCCAAUUCCAUACAUCGGUGAUGCCUUAUUUCUUUUCUCUGUAUUUCACAUAUUCUCCCCAUACGCCGGUACAACCAACGCCACGUAUGGGGCCUGUCAACACGCCGGAUAACCUACGCCACGUGCGACCAUACCAUACUAUCAUCAUAUCUCCCCAUACGCCGGUACAACCAACGCCACGUAUGGGGUCUGUCUCAACGCCGGAUAACCUACGCCACGUGAGACCUGCGCAUCAUAUCACAUAACUCCCCAUACGCCGGUACAACCAACGCCACGUAUGGGGUCUGUCCCAACGCCGGAUAACCUACGCCACGCAGGACCUCAACAUCAUAUCACAAAUUUCCCCAUACGCCGGUACAACCAACGCCACGUAUGGGGUCUGUCGACACGCCGGAUAACCUACGCCACGUGCGACCUCAACACAAUAUCACAAUGUCUCCCCAUACGCCGGUACAACCAACGCCACGUAUGGGGCCUGUCUCAACGCCGGAUAACCUACGCCACGUGAGACCUGAACCGCAUAUCUCAUAUCUCCCCAUACGCCGGUACAACCAACGCCACGUAUGUGGUCUGUCCCAACGCUGGAUAACCUACGCCACGCGGGACCUAAUUUUCACUUGGUGGUGUUUGUAGUGAAUCCAAAAUCCGGGGAGGUACCUAAAGUAGUGCGUAUAGCACUCCAAACUGACAUUCUAGACUCUGUUGUACCCUUGUACAACCAUAUAUAAUUAUAGUUAUAUAAAUAAAUUCUAAUAUUGUGUAAUCCUCCACAAUGGUCUAGCACCCGAUAAUCCCCCCUUAUAAAGGUGAGAUUACUCCGGAAGACUCACGGUCAACCAAGGGUCAAACUACUCUAACCCUGGUCAACCGGACCUGCAGAACCCACGACCUCCAAUUUCCGAUCCGGAAGUCCCUAUGGGUUCUACCAGGUAUAGGACACUUGUCCUGCAAGUUUGGUUCAGAUCGGACGGUCGGAUUGCUCACGAUCGCACGAUCUGACGGUUAAUAAAAAAAUAUAAACUUAACAUUAUUAUUCGGAACAUCCGGGGCUCCGAUUCACGAUCCGUGAAAUCCUACACGAUCCUAGAAAUACCUAGAUCAACAUAUAUUAAAUUUGGGACCAUCCAACGGUCCCAACCUAUCGAACCCGGAUAACGUGUAAUAUGCGAAUAUCCGUUCGAUAGUCAAACGACGUCCGAAUUGAGAUCCGCGAAAUCCUACGCACUCGUGACAACCUAAGGAUCUCAUCGGAACACAUUGCUACUUUUUCUACAGUGCCCACUCGCCGCCGCACGCGCCGGCAGCGCGUGGGUGCCCAAAGCGAUAACGGUUCGCCGGAAAAUCUCAAAACCACGGCUCCAAACUCCUACCCUAGGUAUAACACCCUAUUUGGAGCCACUUUUGUUCUUGGACCUACCCCAAAAAGUGGCCGGAAAUGGCCGAUCACAGCGGUCGAAGUUUCGGCCGAUUUUCAAUUCGAAAAUCGAGUGAUCUACGCUAAGAAUCGAUCUAAUCCUACCCAACCAUCAGCUAGAGCAGCUCGAGAGGUUCAAAAUCCAUACCUGGGUCGACGGAAUUGGUGGCCGGAGGAGGGAGAUCGGGGGCUUUAAAAAUCCGACGACAUCCGGGCGAAAAUCGCCAUUUUCCGGCGGCUGGAGCGGCGGCCGAUGGCGGGGAUGGGCUGGGUUGUGACGCCGAGGCCGAGCCGGUUCUUUUGGUACCGCCCCCGUCCGCAGCUGCGGCCGGUGGCCGAAGUUACGAGGAGAAAGAGAGAGAGAGCCGACGGGAGAGGGAGAGAGAUCGCGGGAGAGAGAGAGAGAGAAAGAGAGAGAGAAAAAUCUGAUUUGAUAAAAAAUCCCAUUUCGAAAUAUUUACGAUUAUGCCACUGGGCUUCUUUUGACCAUAUCUCUCUCGUUACAACUCCGAUUCGAGCCCACUACGUGUCUAUGAACUCGUCUCAGUACGACCUAUCCAAAAAUACAAGUCGCGGUCCCAAACUCUCUCCGGUUAAAAAUAUGACUAAAAUACCCUUAAAUAAUUAAAUAAUUAAAUAAGGGUAAAAUUUGGGGAAAUUUGGGGUCGGGGUGUUACAGGCUGGGUCGUGACGCCGAGGCCGAGCAGGUCCUUUUAGCACCGGUCCCAUCCGCAGCCGCGGAGAUUUCAAGGAAAGAGAGAGAGAGAGACCGACGGGGAGAGAGAGAGAGAGAGAGAGAGAGAGAGAGAGAGAGAGAAAUCUGAUUUUUUAUUAAAAAAAUCUCAUUUCAAAAUAAUUACGAUUGUGCCACUGGGUUUCUUUUGACCAUAUCUCUCUCGUUACAACUCCGAUUCGAGCCCACUACAUGUCUACGAACUCAUCUCAGUACGACCUAUCCAAAAAUACUACUCACUGCCCCAAACUCUCUCUAGGUAAGAAAGUGACCAAAAUACCCCUAUCUCAAGUGUAAAUUUGUAAUUUCCCUUAAAUAAUUUAAAUAAUUUGAAUAAGGGGUUUAAUUUGGAGUCGAGGUGUUACAAUCUAACUCAAUCAAAUACUUUGAUCACUUAAAAAAAAUUGAUCCAACAAAAAAGGAAAUGAAAAAAUGAAAAACUUUUGGUGAGCAUGUAUAAACUCAUGAACUUUACUACUAUCGGACACCCAAUUGAAGGGACUAUGUGUUUCUUUUUCUAUCGGACACCCAAUUGAAGGGACUUUUGUGUUUCUUUUUCUUUCUUUUUUCUUUCUUUUUUUUUUUUUGGGGUUUUUUUUUUUUUGGGGUUAAAGUGGGGGGUAAACAUCCCAGAACAAAAGAAACUAUUCACUCUCAUCUAAACAGACUAAUCUAGUUUUAGGAAUAUCUGAAGUAUCAUCAGCUAAACAACAACUGGCAAAACUAGGAGCCGUGUCAAGAAUGAACAAGCCCAAAUCCAAGUUAUAGCUCCAGUUGGCAAGACAAUCAUCAACUCCAUUCUUCUCUCUAUACACAUGCGUGAGGGUGGAAUUACCAAUUUUUCUCAUCAGUUCACAGCAGCUAUCAACCAAGGCUGCCAAAGGGUGCAAACGAAGCAGAGAAGGCUGCAGGCAAAGCUUCACAGCGAUAACGCUACCUUUUCAGUUUCUAUUGUUUUGAUUUAUUUUUUAAAUUAAAAAUCUAUAGGGUUAAUCACGUGCUGACACGUGGAUAUCAAAAAUCGAAUUCUCAUAUAAGAGAAGCAAAGGCUAAUUGCAAUUUGGGAAAAAGGUAUAUCAAGCUGGGUAUCCGUAAUAACUAUUUGUCGUUCCAAAUUUGCUUAACAAGUUCAUCACACUAAUACUAUAUAAUAACACAAGUGAAAGCACUAUUUUCUUCGUGUUCACUCUUUGUCAUACAAAUUCUUUAUCUAUUUUCUAAACUUGGACAAACCCAUCAGCACCAAUAUUAACGCCGAACAAAUCCAAUUAGCACUUUUCAUCACACAAUGAUACAAUACAAGUUUCAAAGUAACUCACGUAAUAAGGGUGGGUGAGAAGCAACUGCAAAACAAAUUAGAAAAAAAUGGAGAGAAAUAUUAAUAAAAUCGAGUAUGUUUUAAUAGGAAAAAUAAUGCUCAGGAGUGUGAUCGCAUUGAGAAUGUUGGAGGUGACAUGUUUGAUUGUAUUGCAAAGGCCGAUGCUGUAAUUAUCAAUUGUAAAAGAAGUUGUAAUCCCGCAUGGAUAGAGCGGAAAAGGCUGAGUUGCCAUAGUGGGAUAAAAGUGAGCGGAAGCCAAUGAUUGAAGUAUCUUUGCGCUUGGGGCAAUGAUGCAGCUUAUGAGGUUCUAACACCCUCUGCCCUUGAGAAUUUCUGGAAGGUCUCUCUUUGGAGUAAGGGUUUAGCCGCUUGGAAGAGUAUAGCUGGUCAGCUAUACUAUUUUUUUAAAAUUAGCAAAAAAAUGGAGAGAAACAUUAAUAAAACCGAAAAUCGAAAAAAACCAAAUACAGCCGCCCGGCUAUACUAUCUAUCCAACAGACAAUUUUGAAGUAGGUAAGAGCUGGGGCCAAUGCAGGGAGUAGCGGUAGGGAUGGCAACGGGUCGGGUAGGGCCCGGGUAUGACAACACCAUCCCCGUCCCCGCUCUCCAUCCCGCCCCCGUCCCCGAACCUGUCCCCGUUUAAUAGGUUUCGGGGAAUUCUCAUCCCUUCCCCAUCGGGAACUAUCCCCCAUACCCGCCCCGAAUCCCCAAUUUUUUUUGCAUAAAAAAAUAUUUAUCAUAUAUUUUAACAUUAAGUUUCAUAUUAAAUUAUCAUUCAACACAUCCAAAUUAACUAUAAAGUUCAACUCAACUAUUCAAAAUCAUAUCAAUAUGAAGUUCCAGAGAAGAUUAGGAAUAAUUAGGAGAUGGAGGUUAACUUAGGGUUAAACAUAAAUAUUAUAAAUAUUUAUUUAUUUAUUUAAGUAUAAACAUAUAUAUUUUCGGGUCGGGUUCGGGGAUGGAGAUGCCAGUACCAUCCCUUCCCCAUACCCAUCGGGUAUUUUUCAAAUUCGGGGAUCCCCGUACCCGAUACCCGUUUAGCUCCAAAAUCUCCCCCCGUUAGGGUCGGGGACCCGCCGUUGCGGGGAUUUUUGCCAUCCCUAAGUAGCGGUAGUGCCUUUGUUGACAGCUGCUUUUGCAGUUUCAAAAGUGAUUUACAACUAAGAAAUCAACAAGAAUCACUUAUUUAUUGAAAAAAAUCUGAUUUGAAAACUUAUUUUCAAGAUAUUAUCAUAAGAUCCAUCAGAUGUGAUACAAGUGGAAAUUAAUUUCUUUAUAAAAGGCCAAGAACAAUCCAGCCUAGUUAUGGCCUACUGAUAUCCAAUCAGUUCAUACUCAUGCUUUUCUGAUUUUUUACCUUUGCAUUAUCAGGCAAACACAAAAGCAACAACUGUUCAAAAGAUCCUCUGUGCACUGUGCGUUGAUGAUAAGGUGGAUCCUGGAAACUAAAUUCAUUUGGCAACUUGCGAGAACAAUAUCUUUCACGGAAACCCUACCUGCCUAAUAUUGCACAUCUCUUUCCUUCACAAAUGGUUCCCUGGAAUUCACAUCCAUUAUCUCAACCACAAACACUCGUAUUCAUUUCCUUCAAUAAUGCCUCUAUGGAAUCAGCAGGGUGAUAUGAAAAUCAAAUCAUUUAGAAAAUUGAAUAUAAGAAAAUAAUAAUACUAUAUUUUUUAAAUCAAAAAAUCAAAGAAAACUGAGUGUAGCCGCUCGGCUAUACUAUUUAUUUUUAAAAAAGAGAGGACCAGCCUAGCGAUUGGGCGUCCACGAGUCAAAAUAAGUAUAGCCACGUGAUACUUAUAUAUUUAUUUUUUAAAUAGGGAAUACUUAUAUUUAUUUUUUAAAUAGGGAGCAAAGCUGCUGCCCGAUAACUCCCCAUCCCCAAAUGAGUUUUCACUCAUAUUUUUAGCAGUUUAGCUGUUUUUGCUAGCUUUCUCUGACACCUUUUGUUUCUGGCCUCCUAGCUUUGCGUGUGUUUCUUUUCUUCAUGCUUCGUUUGAUUGUUGCUUCUCCUUUUGUUUGUUGCGCUGGUCUGUUUUGGCUGUGUUUAUGAAGAUCUUUUUACCCAAAAAAACAGAAAAAAACCUAAAUCCCAAAAUCUGUUACGAAUGCGGUGGUGGUUGUGGCAUCGACGGUUCAUCAAGUGGUGGUGGUAGGGUUCGUUUAGGCUCAUGGGUUGUUUUAGGAUUUAUUUUUUAAAUUAAAUUAAUCAAGAAAAGUAGAAAGUUUGUUGAGUUAAUAAAUAGAAUAAGGCUAAAUCAGGAAAAAUCUUAUUAAAGCAUUGUUUCUCUCUCAUAAUAAUGUCAUCAAACAAAUAGUAAUUAAUUAAUUAAUUAUAGUUAAAUCCAUGGAGAUGUGUAGCCUUUUGAGAAGGGUAGUGUGGUGAGGGUACAUCUUGGGUUAAAGUGGUGAACAAAAAUGUUCCCAAAAUUGUUGGGAUUACAUCAUGAUAAGAUGUACGUGGAGUAAUCAAAAAUCUAUAUAGCUAAUUACGUGCCGACACGUGGAUAUAAAAAAUGAAUUCUCAUAUAAGAGAAGCAAAGGCUGCUUGCAAUUUGGGAAAAGGUAUCACAAGCUUGGUAUCUGUACUAACUAUUUGUCUUUCCAAAUUUGCUUAACAAUUUCAUCACACUUAUGCAUAAUAACACAAGUGAAAGCACUAUUUUCUUCGUGUUCACUCUUUGACAUACAAAUUCUUCAUCUAUUUUCUAAACCGAGUAUAUCCGCGUGGCUAUACUAUUUUUUAAAAAAAUGGAAAAAUCCAAGUAUAAACGCGCGGCAAUACUAUUUAUCCAACAGUCAAUUUUAAGUAGGUAUGAGCUGGGGCCAAUGCAGGGAGUAGCGGUGGUGCCUUUGUAAUGCAACAGCUGCUUUUGCAGUUUCAAAACUGAUUUACUGCUAAGAAAUCAACAAGAAUCACUUAUUUAUUGAAAACUUAUUUUCAAGAGAUUAUCAUAAGAUCCAUCAGAUGUGAUUCAAGCGGAAAUUAACUGCCUUAUAAAAGGCCAAGUUUGGCCUACUGAUAUCCAAUCAGUUCAUACUCAUGCUUUUUUUCUUUUUACCUUUGCAUUAUCAGGCAAACACAAAAGCAUACAACUGUUCAAAAUAUCCUCUGUGCACAGUGCGUUGAUGAUAAGGUGGAUCCUGGAAACGAAAUUCAUUUGGCACCUUGCGAGAACAACUUCUUUUAUGGAAACCCUACCUGCCUAAUAUUGCACAUCUCUUUCCUUCACAUCUCUUAUUUCAACCACAAACACUUGUGGAUACGACACUCGGACUUCCAAGCUACACUACUAUACAACACCUUCACUUGGGUUUUGCAAAGUGGUACUAACACUUUUUGUUCUCUAAAUUUAAGGAAAAGCCUGAAUAACGGAUUGGACAGCAUGAAUAGGUGUGAUAGUGUGUUGGCUAAAGCCAGCGUCCGCAAGAACAUAUCCCCAUUCCUUCAAGGUCCUUUCUUUUCCUAUUUGUGUAGCGGCCAUCAUCGCCAUGUCUAGCAUCAAUCUCACAUUUGUUAGUUUGAUGUCCUCUUUCUCAUCUUUUUCAUCGAUAACCGCUUCUACAAUUAUCACCUUCCCUUUAUCCGCCGGAAUAGCUUCCCUGCACUUCUUAAGGAUACGGAUGCACUCAUCAUCUCCCCAGUUGUGAAGAACCCACUGCAAUUCACGAAAACAGAAUCAGAGUAUCCAUUGUCAUAACGCUUUGUUGAGCAAGAAAACUUAUAGCAAGAUAAUCAUGGAGUGAUGGCGGAGGAACCACAUUUUUUCUUAUCCCAUUAGCGCAGACAAAUGAUGUAAUAAGUAGAUAUUAACAGACAAAUCAAAUGAUGAAACUAAUAGUUCACAGUAUAAAUGAAAAAUAUAAAUGUGUUGAUGCUAGCUAUAUUUUAAGGCUGCUCUUCCUUAAAUGGUUUAGUUUUCUUGAUUUCUUUUAACUAUAUAUAUAUAUAUAUAUAUAUAUAUAUAUAUACUAACCUUCAUAAUUACAGCAUCAGCCUUUGGAACAAAAUCAAACAUGUCACCUCCAACAUUCUCAAUGCGGUCACACUCCUGAGCAACAGACACAACAUGAGGAAGAUCAAAGUUGAUGCCUCGAAUCCAAGGACAUGCCUCAAUUAACAAGCGCAAAGUAGUCCCAUCACCCCCGCCCACAUCUACGAUUUUCUCAAUCCCUUUGAACACCUCUGAACAACUUUCAAUCACUGCAGGCACAGCCACCCUUGCAUCACAAGCCAUUGCUUCAUUGAAAAGCUUGCUGUGAUCAGGAUUGGCCGCGGCAUAGCUCCAUAUAUCCUCUCCACGUUCUGCUUCAAAUGCUGGAUUGCUAAUACCUUGAAUUCGAGCACUUAGGCCAUGCCACGGUGCUAGCACUACCGGGCUAUUCCCUAGCAAAAUUAAAGCAGCCAUGCUGUUUUCUCCGGAUUUCAAUAGCUGUUUGGACAAAGGUGUUUGUGCAUAAACUUUGGGGCCUAAUUGGGUUGCUGGUUUUUCUUUGAAUAUUUUGAGGUGGACUAGGACCCUCAUGAUGCGGUAAAGGGGAGAAGGAUCACAUCUUAGAGCAGAUGAUAGCUCUAGGAGUGUCAUGGGGCUGCCAUGGCUUUCAAUUGCAUCAGCUAUUCCAAGCUCAAUGGCACAUUUUACCACCCCGAUUUCGACAAACCCAAACACAUAUUUCCAGAUUUCCACUUUGGCAUGUUCUUCUUCUUUCUCUUCUCCUCCUAACUCUCUUUGUUUGUCUUCCAUCUCUUUCUCU